rnacentral:rRNA from 1 species
AGCAGUCGCCGCGGGAAUACGAAGGGGGCUAGCGUUGUUCGGAAUUACUGGGCGUAAAGCGCACGUAGGCGGACAUUUAAGUCAGGGGUGAAAUCCCGGGGCUCAACCCCGGAACUGCCUUUGAUACUGGGUGUCUAGAGUAUGGAAGAGGUGAGUGGAAUUCCGAGUGUAGAGGUGAAAUUCGUAGAUAUUCGGAGGAACACCAGUGGCGAAGGCGGCUCACUGGUCCAUUACUGACGCUGAGGUGCGAAAGCGUGGGGAGCAAACAGGAUUAGAUACCCCAGUAGUCCCUGUCUCUUAUAA